rnacentral:rRNA from 1 species
ACCUACGGGGCGCAGCAGUGGGGAAUAUUGCACAAUGGGCGAAAGCCUGAUGCAGCAACGCCGCGUGAAGGAAGAAGGGUUUCGGCUCGUAAACUUCUAUUAACAGGGACGAAAGAAAUGACGGUACCUGAGUAAGAAGCACCGGCUAAAUACGUGCCAGCAGCCGCGGGAAUACGUAUGGUGCAAGCGUUAUCCGGAUUUACUGGGUGUAAAGGGGGCGCAGACGGCGAUGCAAGCCAGGAGUGAAAGCCCGG